rnacentral:rRNA from 1 species
GAUGAACGCUGGCGGCGUGCCUAAUACAUGCAAGUCGAGCGAACAGACGAGGAGCUUGCUCCUCUGACGUUAGCGGCGGACGGGUGAGUAACACGUGGAUAACCUACCUAUAAGACUGGGAUAACUUCGGGAAACCGGAGCUAAUACCGGAUAAUAUAUUGAACCGCAUGGUUCAAUAGUGAAAGACGGUUUUGCUGUCACUUAUAGAUGGAUCCGCGCCGCAUUAGCUAGUUGGUAAGGUAACGGCUUACCAAGGCAACGAUGCGUAGCCGACCUGAGAGGGUGAUCGGCCACAGUGGAACUGAGACACGGUCCAGACGCCUACGGGAGGCAGCAGUAGGGAAUGUUCCGCAAUGGGCGAAAGACUGAGGGAGCAACGCAGCGUGAGUGAUGAAGGUCUUCGGAUCGUAAAACUCUGUGAUUAGGGAAGAACAAAUGUGUAAGUAACUAUGCACGUCUUGAGGGUACCUAAUCAGAAAGCCAAGGAUAACUACGUG